AUUGAACGCUGGCGGCAGGCCUAACACAUGCAAGUCGAGCGGAUGAAGGGAGCUUGCUCCUGGAUUCAGCGGCGGACGGGUGAGUAAUGCCUAGGAAUCUGCCUGGUAGUGGGGGAUACCGUCCGGAAACGGGCGCUAAUACCGCAUACGUCCUGAGGGAGAAAGUGGGGGAUCUUCGGACCUCACGCUAUCAGAUAAGCCUAGGUCGGAUUAGCUAGUUGGUGGGGUAAAGGCCUACCAAGGCGACGAUCCGUAACUGGUCUGAGAGGAUGAUCAGUCACACUGGAACUGAGACACGGUCCAGACUCCUACGGGAGGCAGCAGUGGGGAAUAUUGGACAAUGGGCGAAAGCCUGAUCCAGCCAUGCCGCGUGUGUGAAGAAGGUCUUCGGAUUGUAAAGCACUUUAAGUUGGGAGGAAGGGCAGUAAGUUAAUACCUUGCUGUUUUGACGUUACCAACAGAAUAAGCACCGGCUAACUUCGUG
rnacentral:rRNA from 1 species